rnacentral:rRNA from 1 species
GGAAUUGUUCGCAAUGGGCGCAAGCCUGACGACGCAACGCCGCGUGGAGGAUGAAGAUUUUCGGAUCGUAAACUCCUGUCGAAUGGGACGAAAAGAUUGCGGGUUAACAGCCCGUGGUCCUGACGGUACCGUUAAAGGAAACCCCGGCUAACUCCGUGCCAGCAGCCGCGGUAAUACGGGGGGGGUAAGCGUUGUUCGGAAUUACUGGGCGUAAAGGGCUCGUAGGCGGCCAACUAAGUCAUACGUGAAAUCCCUCAGCUUAACUGGGGAACUGCGUGUGAUACUGGAUGGCUUGGAUUUGGGAGAGGGAUGCGGAAUUCCAGGUGUAGCGGUGAAAUGCGUAGAUAUCUGGAGGAACACCGGUGGCGAAGGCGGGUCUCUGGGCAACUCCUGACGCUGAGGCGCGAAAGCGUGGGGAGCAAAC